rnacentral:rRNA from 1 species
UUUAUGGAGAGUUUGAUCCUGGCUCAGAGUGAACGCUGGCGGCGUGCCUAAUACAUGCAAGUCGAACGAUGAAGCUUCUAGCUUGCUAGAAUGCUGAUUAGUGGCGCACGGGUGAGUAACGCAUAGGUCAUGUGCCUCUUAGUUUGGGAUAGCCAUUGGAAACGAUGAUUAAUACCAGAUACUCCCUACGGGGGAAAGAUUUAUCGCUAAGAGAUCAGCCUAUGUCCUAUCAGCUUGUUGGUAAGGUAAUGGCUUACCAAGGCUAUGACGGGUAUCCGGCCUGAGAGGGUGAACGGACACACUGGAACUGAGACACGGUCCAGACUCCUACGGGAGGCAGCAGUAGGGAAUAUUGCUCAAUGGGGGAAACCCUGAAGCAGCAACGCCGCGUGGAGGAUGAAGGUUUUAGGAUUGUAAACUCCUUUUGUUAGAGAAGAUAAUGACGGUAUCUAACGAAUAAGCACCGGCUAACUCCGUGCCAGCAGCCGCGGUAAUACGGAGGGUGCAAGCGUUACUCGGAAUCACUGGGCGUAAAGAGCGCGUAGGCGGGAUAGUCAGUCAGGUGUGAAAUCCUAUGGCUUAACCAUAGAACUGCAUUUGAAACUACUAUUCUAGAGUGUGGGAGAGGUAGGUGGAAUUCUUGGUGUAGGGGUAAAAUCCGUAGAGAUCAAGAGGAAUACUCAUUGCGAAGGCGACCUGCUGGAACAUUACUGACGCUGAUUGCGCGAAAGCGUGGGGAGCAAACAGGAUUAGAUACCCUGGUAGUCCACGCCCUAAACGAUGGAUGCUAGUUGUUGGAGGGCUUAGUCUCUCCAGUAAUGCAGCUAACGCAUUAAGCAUCCCGCCUGGGGAGUACGGUCGCAAGAUUAAAACUCAAAGGAAUAGACGGGGACCCGCACAAGCGGUGGAGCAUGUGGUUUAAUUCGAAGAUACACGAAGAACCUUACCUAGGCUUGACAUUGAGAGAAUCCGCUAGAAAUAGUGGAGUGUCUGGCUUGCUAGACCUUGAAAACAGGUGCUGCACGGCUGUCGUCAGCUCGUGUCGUGAGAUGUUGGGUUAAGUCCCGCAACGAGCGCAACCCCCUUUCUUAGUUGCUAACAGGUUAUGCUGAGAACUCUAAGGAUACUGCCUCCGUAAGGAGGAGGAAGGUGGGGACGACGUCAAGUCAUCAUGGCCCUUACGCCUAGGGCUACACACGUGCUACAAUGGGGUGCACAAAGAGAAGCAAUACUGCGAAGUGGAGCUAAUCUUCAAAACACCUCUCAGUUCGGAUUGUAGGCUGCAACUCGCCUGCAUGAAGCUGGAAUCGCUAGUAAUCGCAAAUCAGCCAUGUUGCGGUGAAUACGUUCCCGGGUCUUGUACUCACCGCCCGUCACACCAUGGGAGUUGUGUUUGCCUUAAGUCAGGAUGCUAAACUAGCUACUGCCCACGGCACACACAGCGACUGGGGUGAAGUCGUAACAAGGUAACCGUAGGUGAACCUGCGGUUGGAUCACCUCCUUUCUAGA